UCGCGGGGACGAGAGAUCGACCCCUUCAUUUAGUUGGACGGUGCACAGGUGCUGCAUGGCUGUCGUCAGCUCGUGUCGUGAGAUGUUGGGUUAAGUCCCGCAACGAGCGCAACCUCGCCUUCAGUUGCCAUCAUUCAGUUGGGCACUCUGAAGGGACUGCCGGUGACAAGCCGGAGGAAGGUGGGGAUGACGUCAAGUCCUCAUGGCCCUUACGGGUUGGGCUACACACGUGCUACAAUGGCGGUGACAAUGGGAUGCGAAAGCGCGAGCUGGAGCAAAUCCCAAAAAGCCGUCUCAGUUCGGAUUGCACUCUGCAACUCGAGUGCAUGAAGUCGGAAUCGCUAGUAAUCGCGCAACAGCAUGGCGCGGUGAAUACGUUCCCGGGCCUUGUACACACCGCCCGUCACACCAUGGGAGUUGGUUCUACCCGAAGACGGUGCGCUAACCGCAAGGAGGCAGCCGGCCACGGUAGGGUCAGUGACUGGGGUGAAGUCGUAACAAGGUAGGCGUAGAUGA
rnacentral:rRNA from 1 species